AUAUAUAUAUAUAUAUAUUAUUAGGAGUUUGACUGAGUUAAGGCAAUGAGACUAUCAAACAUGUUGAGCACUUUAAACCUCCAAGAAUCUAAAAUGUAUUCAAGCAAAGUUUUAAUCACUCUUUCCUGGAGUGGAAAAACUAAAAGGCACAACUUUUAUUUAACAAUGAAACGUAUUUUAUGUCUUUAAAAAAUGCUUUUUUCUCCAAGAAUGCAUACACUUUACUCUUUGCACUAUUAAUAAAAACUAAAAACAACCGUAAUUGACUUAUCAUUAAAAAUUGAAGCCUUAAAAGUAAAUAUGAGUUUUAUUGCAGUGAUUCGGUUCAAGGUGUCGCAGAACCUUUGAAGUCUCAAACAUGUGUUUGUUCCACAUUGGUCAGAUACCAACUUUUCUUUGUUGCCGUGUGGACAAACCUGUAGAUCCUGCUCGUCAUGUUCUUACAUUACUCCAGAUAACUUGUUCAGAUGGAGGGCCAGGUUUUCAGUUUCUUUUUUUGUAUGAGUAAAAAGUAAAUUUAUUUAUUAUUCAGUUAUAAAUUUUUAAGCAUCAUAGAACAGUACUUUAAGACCAGAUUUAGGGAACAUAAUAUGUGUUUGAAAAUUGAACAUUUCCAAACACAUUUUGUUU